GCUAACUUUUUUGGGUUUUUUCGAUUUUUCUCUGUGGGGGUUUUAGUGUAUGUGAAAAAUUAUGGAGGAUUAUAGCUAUGGAAGCAGCGAUGAUGAUGAAUGGGACAAUCAACAGUGCAAUAAUGACGAUGAAGACGAUGAUGAUGGUGAAUUUCUUGAUGGGUUUACGGAAAUUGAACAAGAGAGAAACGGAAUCUCUGGAAAGGGUCCUUCAUGCAAGGUAAUCAGGAAAGAGACUCUUUUAGCUGCACAGAAAGAAGACUUGCAAAGA
rnacentral:misc_RNA from 1 species